AUGGUCCUGCACUUCCCUGGCUCCUGGGGGCUCUCCUCAGCAGGGACUUCCCUGGUUUGGCCCAUUCCUGAGCCAGGGGAUGGCCACGUUAACCUGUCCCACCACUCCGGCCCUGCUAGGCCAUGGGGCAGGCUGUGGCCUUCACCACUAGGGCUGCUCUGCCCAGCCGGGCAGCAGUCCUCCUCGGUGAGGUCUUCUCAAUGGGGAGCUUCUUUUCUGAGAGCGAGGAGCUUUAUGAACUCAUCUUUACAUCACUUUAUUUCAGAUUCACCUGGAGUAUGGUGGUAUUUCUACCUGCACCUCAGCAAGUGGAUGUCAGCAGUCAGAAGUUCCUGCAAGCAUAAGGCUGUCUUCAUUACUUUACUUUGCCUUAUGUGCUUCACUUUGAAGAGGGGCCAGCCAAAAGAUGCUUGAUGUUGAGGAAACUAUGAAAAUCUAGCUCUUCUUGGCUUUCUCAAGGUGAGUGCUCAGAGUAUUCAAUUUUUAGAAAUGCUGUUUGCUGUUUCCCCGUUUUCCUCCAGGCUAGCCAUGUCCACCUGCCAGCACUGCACCGCAGCUCAUGUGGUUUGUUCUCCAAUGUGUAACUAAAGGUCUUUUCACCAUUCUUUUACACGAUGGCUGCUCCACACAGUCUGGGCCAUGUAAACAAAACCCAGGAGUCUGGAUCUUGCUGUUAUGGGUGUUUUGGAACCCCUUCUAAAUGCUUCUGCUGAUGACUGCAGCAAAGGUUUUAAUGCAGCAAAAAUGUGUUUAUUGGGCUUUCUUCCAGAAGCUGUGAGAGGGGCACGUUAUGUGCUGGUGGAUUAUUUUACCAACUGAACAAAUGUCAUCUCUUUUACAAACAAGAAACUUGGACUAUGGCAAGAGAGGUAUUUCACUUUAUAAAUGACUUCUGUGCAUCCCGAGCAGGAACCGAGUGCCUUUGUUGUGCAGAGAUGUUCAGAUAGGUGCAGACAAAGCACCCCAGUAUUUUUAAUAUGACAGACUUUAACUGCCCAAUACGGUGCAUGUUUUUUUCCCUUUGGAGGAACUGGCUUUUAAACCAGCAGUUGAGAUCAAGGGGAAUAUGUGAAUACCUAGACUUGAGGAGAAAAAGAAAUCUUUACAAAAUCUUGUGUGGUUUUGGGCCACACAAUUAAAAAUUUGAAUCCUUGACUUCUAUCCCCUGCCCUCCCUUCUUCUUGUUGGUCUGGAGGGUGAUUGGGCCGUUUCUGUUCUGAAUGAGGUGAUGUCUUAUUGCAGUAAGAAGUCUGGUCUACAUAUCUAGCCUUUCUAUCUGCUGGCAUGUCACUGGGGUAUUUUUCCUUUGCAGAGUGUGAAUGUAUUGGGAUGGUGUCUGUAAGAAAGGUGCAUUGAGGCUUCAAACUUAGUGUAAGGAAGGUUUCAUGUUAAAAUGAAGUCUUCUGUUUCCAUUUAGGGAUUUUUGUCUUAUAAUCUAAGCGCUGUGCUCUGACACUCUGGAAAAAUCUCUCCUGGAAGCAGGUGAAGCACCCCUGUUGCGUUCCCUUGUUAUAAAAAUGCACAGGUUGUGGUAUGGUGGGAAAGAAAUCAAUGCAUUUUGGUUUGAGUGUGGUAAGUGUGUUUUGCUUUCGUGGGCAGCUCUUCUAAUGAUUUAGUCAGCAUUGCUGCAUGAUGACCAGGGUGUCAUGCAGGAGCUGGAAACAGGCAGUUUCUCAACCACUAUGUGGCAAAUGGCUUUGGGCUGGCUUUUAGUGCGGGGGGAUUAAGCUGGUUCCUUCUGAAGCUGUCCUAGAAAAAGUUUAAAUUAUUUCCUAGGUUUGCCUGGUAACCAGACUACAGGAGAUGUUAGUCUGAGUUUGUAUGGAGGUAGGUUUGGGAUUUCUCUUUCCUACUGUCAGCAAACAGGACAGUGUUUUCCUUCCCAGACAGUUUUUAAUUUUUGAAGCCGAUGAGUGCCUCACUUUGACAGAGUGUUAAACAUUUACAUGCACUGGUAGGGCGCCUCCUUUGUAUCAAACUCAGAUGUCUAAUCUGCAAAAGUAACCCCCAAAACAAACUGAAAACAAUUCUCUUCAUAUGCAAAAAGCAUGGCCAAAAAAACCCUUUCUUACUUCCAUGAUCAAAGCAGGAAAUAUGUAGUUUGGUUUGUGCGAUGGGGUUAGGUUUUCUUCCUGCCUGUAACAUAGCUUCAGUCAGCUGCCAGCCAAGAGAUAUGUGUGGAUUGUUCAUCCCCCUGUGGAUUUGUGGGAACACACACUAGGAGACCAGAGCAACAUUGUCAUAGUGCCUGCAUUGAUCUCACACUGUGUUUAUGUGGACUCCAGCCAUUAUUCCUUUCUUCUCCAGCAUCCAGAGGCUAUAAUGGAUUGUUUUAUACAUAAUCAUGAUAAUACUUAGCUGUUGUAUUGCAUUUGUCAGGCAUUUUAUAAAGAAGGUCAAUGUAAUUAUCACCAUUUUGCAGCUGGAAACAAAAGCAGAGAGACUUGAAGUGUUUUGCCCACAUCCCUGAGUCUCACAGCAGCGAUGGGGCUCAGAAGAGGAAAAACCCAGAGCAAGGCCCUGGCUGCCGUGUCCUGGCUCUGGUGCUCUUUUCCAAGCAGAUGGGGCUGCACAGGGUCCUGUGGCUGUGCCCCCACGGACACAUGGUGCUGCUGCACCCCAGGCCCCCAACACGGGUGGCACUUUGUCUCCACAGGAGCACAUGAAAGAUACAGCAUGAGUUAGUUUCCCCAGAAAACCUCCCAGACUAAUUGCUUUGGUCCUCACAAGAGCUACACAGCAGUGGGCACAAAAGGCACGGGUCUCCCAUCGCUGAGACUUGUCUGCAGCCUCUCAGGUGUCUGGGAUGCCUGCUCUGGCAGCUUAUUUCUCCACUGAAUCAUCACCUCUUUGCUUCUUUGACCAGUGCUACCUCUGGUGGCCCAAGGAACCAUGUCCCAUCCUUCCCCACCUCUCUCUGCCAGUCCAAAGGGGUUUGGGAACAUGGUGGAGCUGCCCUGGACUUCCCCCAGCCUGCCUGCAGCUCCAUCACAAGGUGUGAGAAGACAGCUUCUUCCUAACGCUGAACCCAAAGUUUGAUGUGACCGUGGGUCAAGGCCAGGAGCUACCACACUUGGCAGGCAAGAGAUUUUUGCAUGUUCUCAAUCCGUGCAGAUCACAUCUUGGUGAGUAAAACCCCAUUAAAAAAAAAAAAAUAAAAAUUAGUCUUUAAUGGAUGCACAGAUGUUUUAGGCCCUAAUCUGGGCCCCACCUUCAGCUGCUUGCAGUGGAAGCUUCACAGCUACUUAUGGUUAAUUUCCUGCCUGCCAGCCCUGCCCAGAGGGGACAGGAGCCCAGGAUGAGUGUGUCCUGUGGCAUUCCCUUCCACAGCCUUGUACGUGAUAAAACCAUGUGUGUGCAGGCCACUCCAUUGCAGACCCUGCCUCGGGUGCUUGGAGUUGUUGCGUUUUCCCCCAAUGUUGACCCCUCUGCAGAUGGCAUCAGCCUGUGCCCCAUGGCGAGGUACAGCAGGGCAUCCAGCGGGGAUUUGUGGUGGUUUCACCGUGCUGGGCAGCUGAGCUCCAUCACAACCCCUCUCUCACUCCCCUUCUUA
rnacentral:lncRNA from 1 species